rnacentral:lncRNA from 1 species
CUGCUUUUGGCCAAUCUCCAUGAGAGAAAGUUCUCAACCUCUGAUUGCAAGUUUAUUUUGACCAUUUACCAUAACUUCAACUUCAAUGCUCGUCUUGAAGGGCAUGACUUGUCAUCCUAAUAUAAUUAGCCCCUCUUCCAGCAGAUCAGACCCACAAUACGCCCCAGCCUCUGGAGGACACAGAGAGAAUGGAAGUCGUGGAGAAGAAAAGAGAAAAGUCUCAGAGGACCAGGAUAUACCCUCAGGACUAGCACUGUGCCUGCCGUAGAACGGGGCCUGCUCAGUGUUUUUUGGGUGAGUAAAUAUGAUAGAAUUUCAAGACUUCCAUACUUCAGAAAGGAGAUCUUAAGUCAAGAAGAGAGAUAUGCCAUGUUUUAUUUAUAUUGAAAUAUAGUCAAAUAUCUUCUGUUUGAUUUUAUAAAAUAUAAAAUGGCAUCUGAAUUUUUGUGGGGGCAGGGGAGUAAAUAAUACUUUAAAUUCCUAGGAAGCGGGAGCCAUAGGGUGAGUCACUGUAGAAAGCAAAAUCCCUUUAGGUUGAGCUGCAUCUUAGAAUGAAAUCCUACAACUGAGAUGGCUAAAGGAAUUAAAAAUGGUAUCUGUAAUGUUAAAUUUCAGACUGCUGCACAAUAUGUCAGUUUUAGGUACUUUUUAAAAGAUGAACAAGUACAAGACUUCAAAGAAGUCUCUCCCUUGUGAAGGGUCCCUUCCGGCUUCACUUUAGAGUCUCUGCACUUUUAGUUCAUCUCAUUUGGGUGUUUCAAGGGAACAGAGAAGCCCUGGUUUAGAUGAUGCAGGGUUUUCUGAUGCCAAAGUGAGAAUGAUAAAAUGUCUGAAGGAAGAACACGAUGCUAUGCAUUCCAGGCAGAAUCUGGACUUGAAAACAAUGAAGCACAAAUACUUUUAGAUGAACUGAUUCACUUUUAUUUUGUAAACAUCCUAGAAGAAUUCCAUUUGCACUGAACUGUUUGAAUCACUGCAGAGCUCUUGCUCCUUCUAAUCCCCAAGGAAAGUCGAUCCAUCGCGUCCUGCUACACUGUAUUUCUUCACUUUGCCCCUUUUCUCAAUUCUUUGUGAUCAGCAUAAAGUUUGAACCGUGCCUCUUCUCGCCUUCCUGCCUGGCCACCUGUCCAGCCCUGCGGUCAGCUGUACCGACCAGCAGACGGUGCCUCUCUUGCCAAGUGGAGCCGAUGCUCUGUGACCAUUGUUCGUGGGGCCACACUGCCAUCCCCAUCGUUGCCCCUUCAGGACACUCGUCAACAGCUGUAAGAGGCUUCCCAUCCUCGCCCAUAUAAAAGGAAGGCCUGAAAACACUUCUCGGAGCAUCAGUUCAUAGGUCACCGCAACCGGCCGAACAAUACGCGAUUAUUCAACGGGCUCCAAUUCAUUUUCCUCUGCUCCUCCCCCACCGUUACCCUUGAGAGAAAACUAAUUUGCAGAAAAAUAGCCCCUGCCAGCCAACUUCUUCUCCUAAAUGUAUGCUGACCCCGAACUCUUGUCUCAGUGGG